UACGGAGGGGGCUAGCGUUGUUCGGAAUUACUGGGCGUAAAGCGCGCGUAGGCGGCUUUGCAAGUCAGAGGUGAAAGCCCGGAGCUCAACUCCGGAAUUGCCUUUAAGACUGCAUCGCUAGAAUCAUGGAGAGGUUAGUGGAAUUCCGAGUGUAGAGGUGAAAUUCGUAGAUAUUCGGAAGAACACCAGUGGCGAAGGCGACUAACUGGACAUGUAUUGACGCUGAGACGCGAAAGCGUGGGGAGCGAACAGG
rnacentral:rRNA from 1 species